rnacentral:sRNA from 1 species
UCGAAGCCCAUUUGGAUCGCGGACAUCGA